CUAUAAUGAACAGUGUUGAAUUCACAAGAUGAAAAAAUUGUCAUAAGAAAACAGAAACUCAAACUAACUGAACACAUUCAAACAAAACUUUGGUAAUAAAUUCAAUCCUUGUCUAUGACUAUCAAUUUGACCAAUGUGAGAAUUAAAAGAAGCCAGUGAAUAGAGAAAUCCAAAAACUUAAAAGUCCAAGCCAAAUAAAAUUUUACAUAAGGCUUAAUCUCCACUUUCACUACAAGACCAUUAUGUACCUGGAGAUCUAAUGUGGUCAAACACCUACACAUAAGCAUCCCUUCAGUUAGUAUUAUGACGACGACAAACUAAAGCUCCUCAAUUAAGGAAACCAGAUCAAUGAAUUCACAGGCUCGUUUUUACUGUUUAAGUGGCACACUGACAUCAUCAGUCAUGACUAGCAAAGGUGUAUUCUCUAAUUCUAGAAUGACAAGUCUUACUCUUCAGGAUAAAGUUCUUGGGUCAACCAUGCAUAGUAAGCACCACCAUGCAAAACCAACUUGGCCACCUGCCCACUCCCCAUUAUAAAAUAAAGAACAACCCAGUGCUAGCCACAUCAUUACUUGGGCCAUAUCAGUGUUGCUCAUUUGUCAUGAGCCUUUUGUAUGCCAGCUGCCCAUGUACUCUGUUCACAUGCAAAGGGCUGCAUAACCUCAGGCAGCUCUUAAUACUUUUUUUUUCUUGACUUCGAAAAUAGAUGUAGCAUCGAAAAGGAAAGAAAAAUCAAUCAUUCUAUCACUCAUCGUGCCCUACAUCCCUUCCCAAAUGACCUAUUUUCUAGCAUGGAUUCUUCAAAUUAGAUAUUAUACUUUCCACUUGCCACAAAAAAGCAGUCAACAGCUGAAAUGCAAAAAAAAAUAGCAAAGAGAAUGAAC
rnacentral:lncRNA from 1 species